AUCAAGGUGAGCUCUUCCAUCAGCUCCUAUUUCAGUAACUGCCACAGUGGAUAACAAAUCCAGUUCAUCUUCAUAGUCUACAAUUUUGAAUGUCUCUUGUUCUGGAUCAUCAUCCAGCAAGUUAAUACGCUUUUUCACCACUCGACCAGAAGAUGUUACAGUAACAGAGUUGUUCACACAGUUUUCUCUGUUAGCCGUGAUUAUAAAGUCUUCUGCAAUUUCUAUUUGGUCUGUAUUAUUUUCAACUUCUUUAAGUUUCAAGACU
rnacentral:lncRNA from 1 species